GUUUGUGUUAUGAAGGUUCCUUUUAAAUGGAUUGUCUAGAGGAUCUGUCGAUGAAACAGUGGCUGCAAGGAGGAAAGGAAGGAAAGAGGAAGUCUUCAGAAGGUGCAUGUCAGAGGACUGUUGGCCUAUUGAAACUCUCCCUCCUGGACUAUGUUUCUCUGAGCUGGUUCUGGGAAGUUCGGUUACGACAAGAUCCUCAAGUAAUGGUGCAGGGCCUCCUCAUGCAGUUCCAGCAGGACUUUUAUGGGAUCAAAGAGAGAACACAGCACCCAGUGCUGAACACACCCAGGUCCCACAACUGACUGCUCCUCCAUCAUUGAGAGGGAUGCACUGAAGGACAAGGUCAGAAAGCUGAGGUGUGACAGAGAGCAGGACACCCCCCCCCCCAUAUAAGCCAGCAGAACAGCCCACCUCAGGCCCAGACCACAACGGGACAGACAGCACAGGACCCACCAACCCAACAGACCCCACCCCCUCCUACCAGCCCUCCUGUCAGCUCCCCCAAUAGCCCUCCUGACAACCCCCCCUCAUCCACUGAGGACACACAAAAGCCAGAGAUUGUGCUCCUCAUUGACUCAAAUGGCAAAUACGUUCAAGAGGGUACACUUUUUCCCAAACACAAACUGGCUAAACUCUAGUGGCCAAACACUAGGCAUGCCCUGGAGCUGUUGUCAGAGGACAGACUAGGGUUCCCCAGCCGCAUCAUCAUUCACACGGGCACAAAUGACCUGAGGGCCCAGCAGGAAAGAGUGACAACAGCACUCAAGGGAGUGAUUGAAAAAGCUUCUUCCACUUUCCCCAACGCACAAGUGGUUAUCUCCACCCGGCUACCACGAAAGUACUUUCACCCUGCCACCAUACACCAGGCAUUUUGCGAGACUGUGCCUCAAAACCUAAUAUAUAUAUAUAUACCUGGCCCACCACUCCACUCUGGACUUGAACAGCCUUUACGACCAGGUCCACCUUUUGCCAGGACCCUGAAGGACGUCACUCUCAACCAUAGACCCAGCACCUCACACAGGAGCAACAGAGCAACAGACCAGCGCGACACCCUCCCGAAGGACCUUUACUGAGAGAACACAUGCCAAGAGGACCUACACCCAGACCACAGCAUCACCAGCCACACCCCAAACAGCUAAGACCACCCCAAACAAACCCUGGCCAAACUCUUAUAGGCCCCCCCAUACCAGACCUAUGCCUCUUCUGCCCACCCCUUGCCCCCCGCCCCUGUGGCAAGGACCUCAGCAUGACAGCAGGACAUAUGCCCAGGCUGUGACCAGAGUAACAGGCCCAACACCCACAAUUACACCUGCCCAAGCCCCAUCCUGCGACAUAAGAGGAGUAAGCAUACAGGCUACCUGCACUACACCAUAGGCCAGUUGAGGCAGAUGGAGAAACAGUUCUACGACACAGACAUCCAUGUGGAGGUGCUGUCUGAACAGAGGACUACUCACACGUCACCAUGAGGUUGAAUUUUAACAACCCCUUGCUGUUACAUCACGAAGGAGGAUGAGGAGGAGCUGGAGACUCUGCCUAUCACCAGCUUCAUCGAAGUCUUCCCCUUCAACAUUGCCUUAAGACAGGUAAACCAUCAGUCUUCUCCUCCCCUGAAGACCAGUCUGAUAUCAUCUGGAUAUUUGCUAUCAUCAGCAUUGCCUCAUUGUAAACAAAGUACUUUGUUAGUAAUUUGAGUAACAAAUUAAUAUUUAUUAACACACAAUUACUGUACUGUAUCAGUGUGCUAAAGCCACACUAAAGCUAUCCAUGCUAAAAGCUUAGCUAUCCAUGCUAAAAGCUUAACUAUCCAUGCUUAAAGCUAUCCAUGUUAAAAGCUUAACUAUCCAUGCUUAAAGCUAUCCAUUCUAUAAGCUUAGCUAUCCAUGCUUAAAGCUAUCCAUGUUAAAAGCUUAACUAUACAUGCUAAAAGCUUAACUACCCAUGCUUAAAGCUAUCUAUGUUAAAAGCUUAGCGAUCCAGGCUAAACGCUUAACUAUCCAUGCUUAAGGCUAUCCAUGUUAAAAGCUUAGCUAUCUAUGCUAAAAGCUAUCCAUUCUAUAAGCUUAGCCAUCCAUGCUAAAAUAUAUCCAGUCUAUAAGCUUAGUUAUCCAUGCUAAAAGCUUAGCUAUCCAUGCCAAAAGCUAACGUAUUUAAUUGAUCUCUGUGUGCUCUAUGUAGGUCAUGGUAGGGCACCACGUGGGCUCUGGCAUGGCCAGUCUUCCCUGACCUGGAUGGGAGGAGGAUCAAUGAUGCCUUCCUGACUGUGUUAGUGCUAGGGCAAAAACAAAAAUGUGCACACCUUUGAGUCCCCAGCUCCAGGAUUGAGAAACUCUCACACACCAACACUAACCUAACCUUGGGGAAAGGGGGAUACCUAGUCAGUUCUACAACUGAAUGCCUUCAACUGAAAUGUGUCUUCCACAUUUAACCCAACCCCUCUGAAUCAGAGAGGUGAGGGGGGGCUGCCUUAAUGUGUGUUUGUGUGUGUGUUUUUGAUGCAGUGAUAGCAGCCGCUGUCUGAAACUGAAGGGUCAGAUGAGAUACAUGACUGAGUCGGAGUCCAUCAUCUUCCUGUGAACCCCUGUGUAAGAGACACACACACCGGGCGGCGGGUAGCCUAGCAGUUAGAGCGCUGGGGUAGUAACCAAAAAGGUAGCUAGUUCGAAUCCCCGAGCCGACAGGGUGAAAAAUCUGUCAAUGUGCCAUGGAGCCUUUGUUAAUGGCAGACGCUGGCCGUUACCCCACUCUCUGAGGGUGUCUCAGGAGGAGUUGGGAUAUGAAAAUAAAUACAAUUCCAGUUCACUCAUGUAUAAAUACGCACUAUAGGACACAUACUGUAUAAUCACCCACCUAAUUAUUAUUAUUAUUACAAACAUCAAAAAUCUAAUCAUAUUGAGUUACUUCCAUGCAUUUAUUCCAAUAUCAUUGUUGGUUACCCCUUUUCUCUUGAAUAGCAUUAGUUAAUCAUAAUCAUAAUUUUUAUACAACACCAAUUAUCUCUGUUUCUGAUGCUCUUCAAACUUGGCAGCGCUUCAAAAUUAGUACCUCAACAUAGCACACUGUACACUGAGAGUCGGGAAGAAAGUUCAGGGAGUGAAUACUUAAUAAAUAUAUGCCCAAAACAAGACACACAAACAGCGCACCGACAUGAAACAGGAACAGUGACGACUGGGGAAGACACCAAAGGGAGUGACUUAUAAAGGGCAGGUAAUCAAGGAGGUGAUGGACUCCAGGUGAGUGUCAUUAUGUGCGUACUGCUGGUGACAGGUGUGCGCCCUAACGAGCAGCCUGGUGACCUAGAGGCCGGAGAGGGAGCACACAUCAUUUACUAUGCACAUCAUUAGCUGCCAAUGAGGUUUUAAUCAGGCAGUCUGGUUCUUUUACAGCUAAUUGGCCAGUGAUUGUUCUUCUCCGGAGUACAUUCACAGGUGGCCGGUGGCACCUUAAUUGGGGUGGAUGGGCUCAUAGUAAUGUCUGAAACGGAAUCAAUGGAACGGUAUCGAACACAUCAAACACCUGGCUUCAGUGUGUUUGAUACCAUUCCAUUUACUCCUUUCCAGACAUUGUUAUGAGCCGUCCUCCCCUCAGCAGCCUCCUGUGACAUUACAAGAUACAACAUUACUUAAUCAAGUUACCUUAAUACACCCACACUCAAUCAAUCACAUUUAUUUUAUAAUGCCCUUUUAACAUCACAAAGUGUUUUACAGAUUCCCAGCCUAAAACUCCACAGAGCAAUGCAGAUGCACAAUCCUUUACACUGGUGUUUCCUCUCUCUCUGUUUACAGGUGUUCAUUUCUGCAUACCGGUAAUAACAUAGGCAUGUUCAUGUUUAUCUCUAGACAGUGUUAGCUCACUGAACUAAAGGUAAUAGCUCUGGGAUCUGUGUGUGUACUUCUACAGAAUGGAGAGUCUGAGUGCCAUGUUUAAAACCGGUCUCUAUAUCAACGACCUGAGUAUGCAUGAGUCCAGUAGAGCCCUGGUACUGGCACUAUAAAGGGAAUAGGGUGCGACCAACGGUACGUCUAUGGUCAGAUUGACUCAGUGCUGUUACCCCUCUCUGUCGCCCCCUGUGGUGAUUGGAGGAACAGAAGAAGUGGAGGACAGUAUGAAGAUGCUGGACUUGGCAACGAAGAAGACAGAGGAUCUGCUAUACGGGAUGAUCCCCAAACCCGUGGCCAAGAGACUGCGCAAGGAAGAGCCUGCUGUCAACACCUUUUGAGACCAUAGGUGAUGCAUGCAUGGUGGUGGCAGGGGCUCCAGAGAAGACCAAGCCCACAACAUCUGUGACAUGGUGGCGGCUGGGGUAUUGGGUCAUAAAAAGCCAUUCUACAGUCUCCAUGGCGACACAGUCCACACUGCAUCAGAGAGAGAGAGAGAGAUUCUGUUUAUGGCCAUCUCACUUACAACACAGCUGGAGGACGAAGGCUGUCAUAACUGACAUUAUUUCGAAAUCACUGCCAUCAAAACAUUAUAUUCUGUAAUCAGAUGUUUUUGUAACAUGAUACUCCCUGUCGUUGAACCAAUUUGUUGCAAAGGUUUCUGAGAGAAUCUGAGAACGAGGGAACAAAUAUAUUAUUGUGUGAACUAUUUUAAUCAACAUCACCCUAAACUGUCAUUCACAAACGCUAGCUUGGAGUUGGGGCUUUAACUGUCAUCACUGGUCUGUCUAUGAGAAUGUGCAUUAAAUUAAGUACUAAAGUCAAUGACUGCUAAAGGUUUGUGAGCCAGCUAGCCGGUCAUCAGGUGGCAGCAGUGACUCACCUUCUCACCAAAGGCUCUCUGACCGUCUGCUCUCUGCAACUUUAAUGAUCAACAUCCCAGCUGUCCAGUUAAACCAACACUUCUUAUCACUUACUCACACUGUGUGUGUGUGUGUGUGUGUGUCUGUGGGUUUCUCAAAAUGAAUACUACUGUGCUCCGAGCACGGGAGGGUCGGAGUAUGUGUCCAAAUUGAAGUUUGCGAAAUGGAGCAGAGGAGGGCACUACUCAAUGCAUCAAUGCAAGCUUCAACUGAAAGUAUGCAAAGAAAUAUGAUGCAACCACAUUACGCAAAAUUUCUUGAAAUCAAUUGUGGCCAUUAUUUAAGCUGAAGUUUACUCCAAUUAGGGGAGGUGUGGUAGGCUUAGGGGAACAUAAUAAAGGAAAAUAUAUACUUUCCAAUCCCCCGUAUAUCUAUUGUGUAAAUGUAUACACAACCGUUCAACAGUUUGGGGUCACAUAGAAAUGUCCCUGUUAUUGAAAGAAAAUCAUAUUUUGUCCAUUAAAAUAACAUCAAAAUCAUCAGAAAUACUGUGUGACAUUGUUAAUGUUGUAAA